AUGGCUGCGGCGACGGCGAUGGCCAUGCUGGCGGCGCUGGCGAUCCUCGUCCUCAUGCCGUCGGCGCGAGGGCUAAGCCGCGCCGAGUUCCCGCCGGGGUUCCUCUUCGGCGUCGCGACAUCUGCUUACCAGAUCGAGGGCGCGUACCUGGAGGACGGCAAGGGCCUCAGCAACUGGGAUUUCUUCACCCACACAAACUCUAGGGGAAUCGAUGAUGGACGGAACGGGGAUGUAGCGGAUGAUCACUACCACCGGUACAUGGAAGAUGUGGAGAUCAUUCAUAGUUUGGGUGUCAGCUCCUACAGAUUCUCAAUUUCAUGGGCGAGAAUCCUACCAAGAGGCCGGCUUGGAGGCGUCAAUUCAGCUGGAAUAGCUUUCUACGACCGCCUGAUUGAUGCACUCGUGCAGAAAGGGAUAGAGCCAUUUGUGACAAUGCAUCACUUUGAUCUACCGCACGAAAUGGAGACCCGAUACGGCGGUUGGCUGGGCACCAGAAUCCGGGAGGAGUUCGAUUACUAUGCGGAUGUGUGCUUCAAGGCGUUUGGUGACCGGGUCAAGUUCUGGGCGACGUUCAACGAGCCCAACCUGUUCACCAGACUUGCCUACGUGCUGGGCAAGUACCCUCCGGCACGCUGCUCCGCGCCGUUCGGGACCUGCGAGAGCGGGAACUCUCAUCGGGAGCCCUACGUCGCGGCUCAUAACAUGCUGAUGUCACAUGCAGCCGCCGUCCACAACUACAAGAAGAAUUACCAGGCAACGCAAGGCGGAUCGAUCGGGAUUGUGAUUGCGAUGAAAUGGUAUGAGCCGCUCACGAAUACCACGGAGGAUAUCCUGGCUGCACGACGUGCCUUGUCUUUUGAGGUAGAUUGGUUUUUGGAGCCGAUAUUCUUUGGUGAUUAUCCCAGAGAAAUGCAUGAGUUGUUAUCAUCCAACUUACCAAAGUUCACCUCAGAAGAGAAGAGCUUACUCCAAAAGAACAAGGUGGAUUUUAUCGGCAUAAACCAUUACACGGCAAUUUACGUCAAGGAUUGCAUCUCUUCUCCGUGCGACCUCAAGGCUUAUGAGGGGAACGCACUGGUCCUAGCUACGGGUGAAAGAGAUGGCGUGGCAAUUGGGAAACCCACUGCAUUCAAUGGUUACUAUGAUGUUCCAGAGGGCAUGGAGUAUAUCGUCAAGUAUGUUAAUCAGAGAUACAAGAACACACCUGUCUAUGUUACUGAAAAUGGUUACUCGCAACACAGCAAUAACACUAUGGACGAAUUGAUGAAUGACGGUGAAAGAGUGAACUACCUGCAGGGUUAUGUCACAUGUCUCUCUUCAGCCGUCAGGAAAGGAGCAAACGUGCGUGGCUACUUCGUAUGGAGUAUCAUCGACAGCUUCGAGUGGACUUACGGUUUCACGGUAAAGUUCGGGCUGUAUCAUGUGGAUUAUGAAACGCAGAAGAGGACUCCAAAGAUGUCGGCGAAGUGGUACCGUGACUUCCUCAUGGGCUCUAGGCCGACCAACCAAGUGCAGACGCCCAGAGCAGAUUCGUGA
rnacentral:rRNA from 1 species